GUAGGUGGCAAGCGUUGUCCGGUAUUAUUGGGCGUAAAGCGCGCGCAGGCGGUUCUUUAAGUCUGAUGUGAAAGCCCACGGGCUCAACCGUGGAGGGUCAUUGGAAACUGGAGAACUUGAGUACAGAAGAGGAAAGCGGAAUUCCACGUGUAGCGGUGAAAUGCGUAGAGAUGUGGAGGAACACCAGUGGCGAAGGCGGCUUUCUGGUCUGUAACUGACGCUGAGGCGCGAAAGCGUGGGGAGCAAACAGGAUUAGAUACCCUGGUAGUCCACGCCGUAAACGAUGAGUGCUAAGUGUUAGGGGGUUUCCGCCCCUUAGUGCUGCAGCUAACGCAUUAAGCACUCCGCCUGGGGAGUACGGCCGCAAGGCUG
rnacentral:rRNA from 1 species